rnacentral:rRNA from 1 species
UGAGGAAUAUUGCGCAAUGGGGGAAACCCUGACGCAGCAACGCCGCGUGAGUGAGGAAGGUUUUCGGACCGUAAAGCUCUGUCGAGCGGGAAGAAAUGCAUAGUGGCUAAUAUCCAUUAUGCUUGACGGUACCGCUAAAGGAAGCACCGGCUAACUCCGUGCCAGCAGCCGCGGUACUACGGGGGGUGCUAGCGUUGUUCGGAAUCAUUGGGCGUAAAGAGCGUGUAGGCGGCUGGAUAAGUCAGAUGUGAAAGCCCUGGGCUUAACCCAGGAAGUGCAGUUGAAACUG